rnacentral:rRNA from 1 species
UGGGGAAUUUUGGACAAUGGGGGAAACCCUGAUCCAGCCAUCCCGCGUGUGCGAUGAAGGCCUUCGGGUUGUAAAGCACUUUUGGCAGGAAAGAAACGUCAUGGGUUAAUACCCCGUGAAACUGACGGUACCUGCAGAAUAAGCACCGGCUAACUACGUGCCAGCAGCCACGGUAAUACGUAGGGUGCAAGCGUUAAUCGGAAUUACUGGGCGUAAAGCGUGCGCAGGCGGUUCGGAAAGAAAGAUGUGAAAUCCCAGAGCUCAACUUUGGAACUGCAUUUUUAACUACCGGGCUAGAGUGUGUCAGAGGGAGGUGGAAUUCCGCGUGUAGCAGUGAAAUGCGUAGGUAUGCGGAGGAACACCGAUGGCGAAGGCAGCCUCCUGGGAUAACACUGACGCUCAUGCACGAAAGCGUGGGGAGCAAACAGG